GUGGGUAUAGCUCAGCAGCAGAGCGCUUGCUUAGCAUGCAGAAGGUCCUGGGUUCAAUCCCCAGUCCUCCA
rnacentral:tRNA from 1 species